GAUGAACGCUGGCGGUAUGCUUAACACAUGCAAGUCGAACGGACUCUUCGGAGUUAGUGGCGGACGGGUGAGUAACGCGUGAGAAUCUGGCUUUGGGUUCGGGACAACCACUGGAAACGGUGGCUAAUACCGGAUGUGCCGAGAGGUAAAGGAGAAAUUGCCUGAAGAUGAGCUCGCGUCUGAUUAGCAAGUUGGUGAGGUAAAGGCUCACCAAGGCAGCGAUCAGUAGCUGGUCUGAGAGGAUGACCAGCCACACUGGGACUGAGACACGGCCCAGACGCCUACGGGAGGCAGCAGUGGGGAAUUUUCCGAAAUGGGCGAAAGCCUGACGGAGCAAUACCGCGUGAGGGAAGAAGGCUCUUGGGUUGUAAACCUCUUUUCUUAGGGAAGAACAAAAUGACGGUACCUAAGGAAUCAGCAUCGGCUAACUCCGUG
rnacentral:rRNA from 1 species